rnacentral:misc_RNA from 1 species
AAGUCGUAACAAGGUUUCCGUAGGUGAACCUGCGGAAGGAUCAUUCACACACUAAGCAGUAUAGCAUUAAUGAUAAAAAGUUGAUGUAAAAGCUGUAUGUCCCUAUCUAAACUAAAACAACCCUAGACUGCCUGUUUCGUGCAUAACGGCUAUUGUUGUGGUCAAACACACGAAGGUCGCCUUAAUUUGCCUUUCUUCAUUGUGAUCAGCAGCGGCAACUGCUCAAGCAAUGAUGUCAUUUUGUCUGAGCCCUUUAUUGGGUGAAAAUGUAGUAAUACGUAUAAUAACAUACAACUCUUUGCAAUGGAUAUCUUGGUUCUCGUACCGAUGAAGAACGUAGC